rnacentral:rRNA from 1 species
GUCACACCAUGAGAGUUGGGAAUACCCGAAGCCUGUGAGCUAACAUUAUGAGGCAGCAGUCGAAGGUAGAAUCAAUGAUUGGGGUGAAGUCGUAACAAGGUAAC